rnacentral:rRNA from 1 species
UCAGGCCUAACACAUGCAAGUCGAGCGGAAACGAGUUAUCUGAACCUUCGGGGAACGAUAACGGCGUCGAGCGGCGGACGGGUGAGUAAUGCCUAGGAAAUUGCCCUGAUGUGGGGGAUAACCACUGGAAACGAUGGCUAAUACCGCAUGAUGCCUACGGGCCAAAGAGGGGGACCUUCGGGCCUCUCGCGUCAGGAUAUGUCUAGGUGGGAUUAGCUAGUUGGUGAGGUAAGGGCUCACCAAGGCGACGAUCCCUAGCUGGUCUGAGAGGAUGAUCAGCCACACUGGAACUGAGACACGGUCCAGACUCCUACGGGAGGCAGCAGUGGGGAAUAUUGCACAAUGGGCGCAAGCCUGAUGCAGCCAUGCCGCGUGUGUGAAGAAGGGCUUCGGGUUGUAAAGCACUUUCAGUCGUGAGGAAGGUAGUGUAGUUAAUAGCUGCAUUAUUUGACGUUAGCGACAGAAGAAGCACCGGCUAACUCCGUGCCAGCAGCCGCGGUAAUACGGAGGGUGCGAGCGUUAAUCGGAAUUACUGGGCGUAAAGCGCAUGCAGGUGGUUUGUUAAGUCAGAUGUGAAAGCCCGGGGCUCAACCUCGGAAUUGCAUUUGAAACUGGCAGACUAGAGUACUGUAGAGGGGGGUAGAAUUUCA